UGGCGGACGGGUGAGUAAUGUCUGGGAAACUGCCUGGUGGAGGGGGAUAACUACUGGGAACGGUAGCUAAUACCGCAUAACGUCGCAAGACCAAAGAGGGGGACCUUCGGGCCUCUUGCCAUCGGAUGUGCCCAGAUGGGAUUAGCUAGUAGGUGGGGUAACGGCUCACCUAGGCGACGAUCCCUAGCUGGUCUGAGAGGAUGACCAGCCACACUGGAACUGAGACACGGUCCAG
rnacentral:rRNA from 1 species